rnacentral:rRNA from 1 species
ACGGAGGGUCCGAGCGUUAUCCGGAAUCAUUGGGUUUAAAGGGUCCGUAGGCGGGUUUAUAAGUCAGUGGUGAAAGUUUGCAGCUUAACUGUAAAAUUGCCAUUGAUACUGUAGAUCUUGAAUUAGUGUGAAGUGGUUAGAAUAAGUAGUGUAGCGGUGAAAUGCAUAGAUAUUACUUAGAAUACCAAUUGCGAAGGCAGAUCACUAACACUAUAUUGACGCUGAGGGACGAAAGCGUGGGGAGCGAACAGG